rnacentral:rRNA from 1 species
AUUGAACGCUGGCGGCAGGCCUAAAACCUGCAAGUCGAACGAGUGGCGGACGGGUGAGUACUGUCUGGGAAACUGCCCGAUGGAGGGGGAUAACUACUGGAAACGGUAGCUCAUACAGCAUACCAUCGGAUGUGCCCCGCUGGGAUUAGAUAGUAGGUGGGGUAAUGGCUCACCUAGGCGACGCUCCCUAGCUGGUCUGAGAGGAUGACCAGCCACACGGGAACGGAGACACGGUCCAGACUCCUACGGGAGGCAGCAGUGGGGAAUAGUGCACAAUGGGCGCAAGCCUGAUGCAGCCAUGCCGCGUGUAUGAAGAAGGCCUUCGGGUUGUAAAGUACUUUCAGCGAGGAGGCGUUACUCGCAGAAGAAGCACCGGCUAACUCCGUGCCAGCAGCCGCGGUAAUUC